ACUGACGUCCUACAUCAUCUGCCCGCGCGGUUUCCGCGUCCCACAGUCAGCGGAAGUGAGAAAUUAUUUUUUAUUAUGUUUGACAUAUGCAUAUUUUUCUUACAAAAACGCAUGGAUUCACUACAGGAGGUCUUUAUUCACCCCCCGGAGCCAUGUGAGGGACGUUUUAUUACAGAUAUGCGCGCUUUAUUUCACGUCUUCGGAACUGUUGUCAAUAAACACCCGCUUAGCCCCAUUGAAAGGCUUGAAGGGGCCAGGACAAUUUUUAAUAUAACUCCGAUUGCAUUCGUCUGAAAGAAGAAAGUCACAUACACCUAGGAUGCUUUGAGGAGGAUCCAUUGGAGGCUUCAAAUCUGUUCCCAUGAAGAAACACAUUUCUCUACAUCUUGGAUGGUCUGAGGAUCUAAACUCAGUUUGCCUCCUGCCCAUAUGAAUCCAAGCAUUACAAGAGGAUUGAAACAUAAAAUGGAUUUUUCCUUGUCUCCUGCCAUACAUGUCACACAGUUCAUGCAAGAUAGUCAUAAGAGUGUGUGUGGCUCCAUCAGCUGCUAAACAGUGUUGUCUGUACAUACUGCAGCUCCGGAGCGAUCUACGGCUCAGGAAAGUGGCUCACAACAACUGCUGGGAACGUUACAGAAGACGGUUCUCUCCAGAGCAUCUUUCACCUCUGCUGGCGAUGCUGAAGGAAUGCGGCCUCAGAUAGAGCCACCUGUCAUGUGAAAUACCAGAGCCACACUCCCCCAUUGACAUUUCAACGUGACAUUUGAAAUCCACUCCAUCUCACCGAGGGAGACUACGAAAUACACCUUCCUUUUGCAUUGGCCCAUUAUGUGCAAAAAACACAGCAUCAGGAUAAAAGAUUUGGCCAUUGUGUUGAUCACAUUAACUGGGUAACCUUUAAUAUGGGACUGGCGCUUGGGCUACAGUUUUCAUUUUAUUAACUUCAUGACUGUAAAAAUGCUACAGUAAAAAAACAGUUAAUUGGUUAACAGUAAAUUGCAAUUCUCUGUACGUGAGAAAUUUUAAUAAAUCUAAUGUGACAUUUCAGUAAAUUUACAGUUUUGUUUUUUUUCUCCAGUGACAUAAUUUACAUUCCCGGAACUCCC